GACGAACGCUGGCGGCGUGCUUAACACAUGCAAGUCGAACGGAAAGGCCCGGCUUUUGGGGGGUGCGCGAGGUGCGAACGGGGGAGUAACACGUGAGUAACCUGUCCUUGACUGUGGGAGAAGUUAAUACAACUGGGGCUAAUACCGGGUAGGAGCUCCUGCUGCAUGGUGGGGGCGGGAAAGUUUCGGCGGUUGGGGGUGGACUCGCGGCUCAUCGGCUUGUUGGUGGGGUGGUGGGUGACCAAGGCUUUGACGGGUAGCCGGCCUGGGCGGGUGGCCGGCCACGUCGGGACUGAGAUGCGGCCCAGACUCCUCUGGGAGGCAGCGGUGGGGUAUGUUGCACUAUGGGCGGGAGGCUGCUGCGACAACGCCGCGUGCGGGAUGACAGCCUUCGGGUUGUAUACCACUUUCGCCUGUGCCGAAGAGUGAGUGACGGUAAUGGGUAAAGAAGCCCCGGCUAACUACGUG
rnacentral:rRNA from 1 species